rnacentral:tRNA from 1 species
UCCCUGGUGGCUCAGUGGUAAAGAAUCUGCCUGCCAAUGCAGGAGACAUGGGUUCCAUCCCCGAUCUGGGAA